CAUCCCGCCGCCACCUACCUCCCUCCACCCUUUCUCUCUUCUCUUCUCUGUGAGAAAACGAACAGGAGAAAAUCAUACUUCCACCAUCCUCUUCACCAUGGCGCCGCCACUACAGACCCUCCCCCGCCGUUCUGAGGGCAUCGGCAGAUGCGCCUCGUCGUCCUCUAUCUCCUGGUGCGCGGAAUCGUCCCGAGAGGCCCCGAGUUGAGCGCAAGGUCGCCGAUUCUUCGUGCCAGACUCCAAGCUUCUUCCCCGAUUCCGGCCGCCCUCGUCCUUCUCCGGCCAAACCAAGCACAUCCACGAUUUCCCCGUAUCCAGGCGCACCCCCGACGCCUCGCGCUCGUGCUGUUUCGUCCGCAGCCAUCAAGUUCUUCUCCGACCAGGAUCUUCCGCCAUGGACGCCAUGCCCGAGCUCCGCCUCUCUCUGCUUCUAGUAGUCGGGCGACCCACAACCAUCACCAUCCGAUCAGGCAGCGCAGUGAUCCCGCAGGCACAAAUGGUUUACCUUGCGUGGGAGACCUUCCAAACCAGCAACAACAUGUAGCUGAGCUGAUCUGCUAGAUCUUCUGCAGAUGGGCCUCAGCCCACUCGUCGUGAGCAUCUUCAUCGCCCAGAGCGCGGUGGGCCGCUAUCCGUCGCCGCCUCCCCUCAGCAUUUGCUUCUUCCCGGAUAGGAUCACGAAGUGUUGAUGUGAGAUAC